AGAGUUUGAUCAUGGCUCAGGAUGAACGCUAGCGGGAGGCCUAACACAUGCAAGCCGAGCGGUAUAGAAUCUCCGGAUUUUAGAGAGCGGCGUACGGGUGCGGAACACGUGUGCAACCUACCUUUAUCUGGAGGAUAGCCUUUCGAAAGGAAGAUUAAUACUCCAUAAUAUAUUGAUUGGCAUCAAUUAAUAUUGAAAGCUCUGGCGGAUAGAGAUGGGCACGCGCAAGAUUAGUUAGUUGGUGAGGUAACGGCUCACCAAGACGAUGAUCUUUAGGGGGCCUGAGAGGGUGAUCCCCCACACUGGUACUGAGACACGGACCAGACUCCUACGGGAGGCAGCAGUGAGGAAUAUUGGACAAUGGGUGCAAGCCUGAUCCAGCCAUCCCGCGUGAAGGACGACUGCCCUAUGGGUUGUAAACUUCUUUUGUAUAGGGAUAAACCUCUCCUCGUGAGGAGAGCUGAAGGUACUAUACGAAUAAGCACCGGCUAACUCCGUG
rnacentral:rRNA from 1 species